AACAUUUAACAUAUGUUAUUGGUUUGUCAAGAAAGCUAGGAAGAAAGCUAUUUGGGAACUUUCAGCAGUUAUCCGCUCCGCACUUCGCUAUCGGAGCAAUGUUACAUGGAUUAUUACUCGGGGUGUUCGACACAGGUUAGAAGAAGUUCAGUCAAAAUGGUUAAAGGAGUCAAAGUGCUCACUUCUCAGAUAUCUGUCAAUAUUAUUCUUGCAAAAAUGGCAUUUUUUCUAGCAAGAAAUUAUUCAAGAAAUCCAUGUUUAUUCACAUUUUCAGUCAGGUAUAUAUGGCUUUUUGGACAAAAAAAAUUAGAGGGGAAUGUUAAUUUUUCCAAAGUCUGUUUAUACAUGGUGUCAACUUCAUUACCAGUUACUAGUAGGGCCUCCUUUUGUAGUGGUGUAGUAAUCAUUGAAAGUCUGAAAGCUAUUUGUAAAUAUAUAUUUCACCUUUUAUGUAUUAUAUGUUGGUCUUUUGUCAAAA